rnacentral:rRNA from 1 species
GACAGAGGGUGCAAACGUUGUUCGGAAUUACUGGGCGUAAAGCGUGCGCAGGCGGCCUUGCAAGUCGGGCGUGAAAUCCCACGGCUCAACCGUGGAAGUGCACUCGAAACUGCUUGGCUAGAGUCUUGGAGAGGAAGGCGGAAUGCUUGGUGUAGAGGUGAAAUGCGUAGAUAUCGAGAGGAACACCUGCGGCGAAGGCGGGUUGCUGGGCUGACACUGACGCUGAGGCGCGAAAGCUAGGGGAGCGAACGGG